GGCUGGAUAGCUCAGUCGGUAGAGCGUUCGCGUGCUUUGCGGAGGUCACGGGUUCGAGUCCCGGUCUGGCUG
rnacentral:tRNA from 1 species